CUGGGAAGGCCUGCUAGGCCUUUGGACUCUUCAUGCUUGCAGCUCCUCAUUUCAGCAAAGGAUGUGUUGCCAGGCUUAGUUGUGUGUUUCUUGGGUUUGCUCACUCAGUUCUGAUCAUCUGCUGCUACUGAGCACUAUUAGUCAGUAAGGAGAAGCAACUGUUUGACUGAGGUGACACCUUUCGGAAACACAAAGCUAGAUAAAAUCCUGCUCAAGUGGGCCACCUGGGAAAAGAACACUUCACAGCCCACACAAUUUUCUCUGUUGGGGGCUGGCUUUCUUCUUCAUGGUCCACUGUCCUGAAAAGGGACAUCAAUCUCAAGAAAAACAGAGCAAGGCAAAGGCAUUAAUUCCUGUGGAGGAUUCAAAAGAAGUUGUUCGGCCAGCAGAUUCAGUCUCUGGCUCUCACCCUCAUGGGCAGAAAGCUAAUCCUUGUUAAUGCAGCCUUGGGAUCAAAGCUGUCUGAAUAUAUAUUGAAAAUGAAUUCUGGCUGCAACUGGAAAGAUUUGAGAAAGAAGAGAAAAAGCAUUCAAGUCCCACCCUUUUCUCUGACAGCUUGGAAACCAGAAGGAGGGAAAAGAAAAGGUGCCAGUGUUGGGAUCUUUGCACAGCAACAAUGGAAGGAAAGUGAUGAGCUAUUAAAUAGUUGAUGGAAGAGAAUUUGAGGUGUUUAUCCAAAAAUUAUGAAAAACACAUCAUCAAAUUAUGUUUAAGAAACCAUUUGCUCAAAUUUAGCAAAUAA